GGAAGGGUGGCUCAGUGGUAGAGCGCACGCCGUCGUCCGCCCGACGAGGGUGGCCGGCGGGGCUGUCGACCGACCCCGGUCGGCGCGUGGCUUCGCGUGGUUCGACUCCCGCCCCUUCCA
rnacentral:tRNA from 1 species